rnacentral:rRNA from 1 species
GUAGGUGGCAAGCGUUGUCCGGGAAUUAUUUGGGGCGUAAAGCGCGCGCAGGCGGUUCUUUAAGUCUGAUGUGAAAGCCCACGGCUCAACCGUGGAGGGUCAUUGGAAACUGGAGAACUUGAGUACAGGAGAGGAAAGCGGAAUUCCACGUGUAGCGGUGAAAUGCGUAGAGAUGUGGAGGAACACCAGUGGCGAAGGCGGCUUUCUGGUCUGUAACUGACGCUGAGGCGCGAAAGCGUGGGGAGCAAACAGGAUUAGAUACCCUGGUAGUCCACGCCCGUAAACGAUGAGUGCUAAGUGUUAGGGGGUUUCCGCCCCUUAGUGCUGCAGCUAACGCAUUAAGCACUCCGCCUGGGGAGUACGGCCGCAAAGGCUG